AGUCCUGGAUGCUCCACCUCCCAGUCAUCUCCUGUUAAAAUGCCUGGGAAAACAGCAGAAGGUGACCCAAGCACCUGGACAUCUGCCACCCAAAUGGGAGACCUGGAUAGAGUUCCUGACUCCUGAUUUCAGCCUGUCCCAGCUCUGACAGUUGUAGUCAGUUGACUUGAAACUGAAAUUCUGGAUGGCCAUGCACAUGAAACCUUGGAUGGAAGCAGUUUCUGCAAGCUGGCACUGCAUCCCCCUGGAGAAGUCACCUCCUGCUGAGAAGCCGCCUGCUGCAUGAACCCUGUCUUGACUCCAUUUCCAAUAAGGCCCCUUUUUAGCAUGAAGCAGCCAGAGCAGUCAUCUCCCAGUUCCCCUAACAGAAGUUAUGGUUCAUUCUUUGGGGCGGGGGGAGGGAAUGUGAGGAGUCAGAUGAGUUAAUAGGCAGUCAGUGGAAAGUGAGUGUGGAAAAUGUUCUCUCCAAAAGUUAUCUUUAGCAGGGUCAGAAGUACCUGCCUGCCUGCCUGCCAACUCUUUGGGAGCUUCCAGUCUUAUCGUCAGCAAGUAGUGGUGACUCCACCCUUCUGAGCUCCCAGUUUACUGUAAAACAAAUUAGGUAUCCUGCCCUUGUGAUGGCUCUUUUGGUUUAUGAGCAAACCAGACAGCGUAAAAGAUUGCAAAUUAGGUCUUUUGGUGGGUUUUGUCCCCAGCUUGUAACUGAAUGUCAAUCCGACUGUCAAAUUUUUUGUCUUUCAUUUAUUUAUUUAUUUAUUUAUUUAUUCAAAAUUGUGCUUAAGAACCCCAGAGCCACACAGCCCUUCAGGUUUUGCCUCUCUUGGAAGCCCCCUCCAUGCCACUCUGGAUUGGUCUCUGACUCUAAUAAAUCUUGCUUUUAAAUCUUAAAAAAAAGGUUUACACCAUCAUCUAUCAUCAGGGAAGCACAAACAAAAUGAAGAAUGAAAGAUGAUAUUACACAACUAUUAGAGCAACCCAAAUCCAGAACACCAACAACAGCAACAGAAACUCUCAUUCAUUGCUGGCUAGAAUUAAACAUCAUACAGACAAGUUGGAAUAAUUUGAGCUUUUCUAAGCAGGUGGUAGGCCACAUUUGGUCUUUCUAUAGAUUCUGGCUGACUUCACCAGAGAGACUUUUGUGCCAGAUGGAGUCUCCUUGCUGGAGUACUUUGAUAAGGUCAGGGAGAAGAGUUGGGCCAUCUGGCCAUCCCAAAGGACAUCUCUCAAACCCAUUACAUUGACAGCAUCCUGAUGCUGGAUGAUGAGCAAGGAACUGAAUGUUGCACUGGUGGCCCUAGAAAAGCAGCACGGACUGACACUGGCUGCACAGGGAGAGGUACAGCACACACCUGAGAUCCUGGAAAGACCACAAUCAGAGCAUCAAGGCCUCUGAAACACAUCUCUGGGGGAGUUCUUGGGAAAUAGGUCACAUGACCACAUGAUGCAGUGUACCCGUUCAGCUAGAAUUGCACAAGGUCCUGUCAAACUUGGUGAACAGCUAUGAGGUCCAUGAGGAACAUGGCACAUCCCAGAUGGACAACAGUAGAGGACACACAUAUAUGGCAUAAGCAGAGACUCCAGGCCCCUUUCCCCAGUUCCACUACCCAGCUCACACCUGUGGUAUACAAAGGUCGGGUUCUCAUAGAGUUGACCAAAAGAGAAGGAAAGCUCCCUGUACUUACUGCAGAUGGACUGACUUGUGUGGGGGUGUAAACUGAUAGAUAUGGAAGGGAUGCUUUACAGUGACAUGCAGAGGUGACCCUGAAAGACAGCAAGACAGGAGUCUUCUCUUGGGCAGAGCUGUGAGAAGAGUGUCUGUUCAGCCUCUCCUAUGGAAAAAAGUGUCAGAGGUGGGACUCUAUGGAGAUUUCUUGGCAGUAGCCAAUUACUUGACCAUCUUAUUGGGUCUAGAAGGAAAACUUGUGUGGAAUUCAGAUUUCUCCUCAAAGCAGUAAAUGCCAGCUACAACCAGCUC